UGUUGAUAUGAUGAUAACAUUUGCUAAAAAAAAAAUAUUGAUUAAGAAAAAAUCAUACUACAAUUAUCUAAUCAAUG